rnacentral:rRNA from 1 species
UUUUUUUUUUUUUUUUUUUUGUGGUAGGGUUCCGUUCCUUCCGCCCCACCGAACCCGAACGGCCCCUAUACAACGCAGGGAGAAGACAUAAAGUAUGUUUCUCUCCUUUGGGGGGGGGGGGGAAGGGUGGAAACCAACCGUCCUCACUCCUCUAGAGAGUGAGGUGUCUCCCUCCGGAGACCGGGUGUAUUUUUCUUGAUUUAUCUUUCCCGCCCCCGUUUUUUAAAAAAAGAAAAGUUGUUUUUCUUCUUAUUUUUAGAGGCGCCCCGCUCCUUUUUAUUUUUUUGGAAAAGGACCGGUCUCCCAAGGGGGACAAAUCGUACCCCCCCCUGAGGAGGUUUUCGCCCCCACUGGAAAUUAGAACCCGGGUCCAGACUUCCUAGGGGGAGGCACCAGUAGGGAUUCUUCCCCAAAUGGGGGAAACCCUGACGGAGCAACCCCCGCGUGAGUGAUGAAGGUCUUCGGAUCGUAAAACUCUUGUUAUUAGGGAAGAACAUACGUGUAAGUAACUAUGCACGUCUUGACGGUACCUAAUCAGAAAGCCACGGCUAACUACGUGCCAGCAGCCGCGGUAAUACGUAGGUGGCAAGCGUUAUCCGGAAUUAUUGGGCGUAAAGCGCGCGUAGGCGGUUUUUUAAGUCUGAUGUGAAAGCCCACGGCUCAACCGUGGAGGGUCAUUGGAAACUGGAAAACUUGAGUGCAGAAGAGGAAAGUGGAAUUCCAUGUGUAGCGGUGAAAUGCGCAGAGAUAUGGAGGAACACCAGUGGCGAAGGCGACUUUCUGGUCUGUAACUGACGCUGAUGUGCGAAAGCGUGGGGAUCAAACAGGAUUAGAUACCCUGGUAGUCCACGCCGUAAACGAUGAGUGCUAAGUGUUAGGGGGUUUCCGCCCCUUAGUGCUGCAGCUAACGCAUUAAGCACUCCGCCUGGGGAGUACGACCGCAAGGUUGAAACUCAAAGGAAUUGACGGGGACCCGCACAAGCGGUGGAGCAUGUGGUUUAAUUCGAAGCAACGCGAAGAACCUUACCAAAUCUUGACAUCCUUUGACAACUCUAGAGAUAGAGCCUUCCCCUUCGGGGGACAAAGUGACAGGUGGUGCAUGGUUGUCGUCAGCUCGUGUCGUGAGAUGUUGGGUUAAGUCCCGCAACGAGCGCAACCCUUAAGCUUAGUUGCCAUCAUUAAGUUGGGCACUCUAAGUGACUGCCGGUGACAAACCGGAGGAAGGUGGGGAUGACGUCAAAUCAUCAUGCCCCUUAUGAUUUGGGCUACACACGUGCUACAAUGGACAAUACAAAGGGCAGCGAAACCGCGAGGUCAAGCAAAUCCCAUAAAGUUGUUCUCAGUUCGGAUUGUAGUCUGCAACUCGACUACAUGAAGCUGGAAUCGCUAGUAAUCGUAGAUCAGCAUGCUACGGUGAAUACGUUCCCGGGUCUUGUACACACCGCCCGUCACACCACGAGAGUUUGUAACACCCGAAGCCGGUGGAGUAACCAUUUGGAGCUAGCCGUCGAAGGUGGACAAAUGAUUGGGGGAAGUCGAAACAAGGAGCAUGGG